AGUGAACGCUGGCGGUAGGCCUAACACAUGCAAGUCGAACGGCAGCACAGUAAGAGCUUGCUCUUACGGGUGGCGAGUGGCGGACGGGUGAGGAAUACAUCGGAAUCUACUUUUUCGUGGGGGAUAACGUAGGGAAACUUACGCUAAUACCGCAUACGACCUACGUGUGAAAGCAGGGGAUCUUCGGACCUUGCGCGAUUGAAUGAGCCGAUGUCGGAUUAGCUAGUUGGCGGGGUAAAGGCCCACCAAGGCGACGAUCCGUAGCUGGUCUGAGAGGAUGAUCAGCCACGCUGGAACUGAGACACGGUCCAGACUCCUACGGGAGGCAGCAGUGGGGAAUAUUGGACAAUGGGCGCAAGCCUGAUCCAGCCAUACCGCGUGGGUGAAGAAGGCCUUCGGGUUGUAAAGCCCUUUUGUUGGGAAAGAAAAGCAGCAGGUUAAUACCCCGCUGUUCUGACGGUACCCAAAGAAUAAGCACCGGCUAACUUCGUG
rnacentral:rRNA from 1 species